rnacentral:rRNA from 1 species
UACGUAGGGGGCAAGCGUUAUCCGGAUUUACUGGGUGUAAAGGGUGCGUAGACGGUUGUGUAAGUCUGAAGUGAAAGGCAUGGGCUCAACUCAUGGACUGCUUUGGAAACUAUACGACUGGAGUGCAGGAGGGGUAAGCGGAAUUCCCAGUGUAGCGGUGAAAUGCUUAGAUAUUGGGAGGAACACCGGCGGCGAAGGCGGCUUACUGGACUGUAACUGACGUUGAGGCACGAAAGCGUGGGGAG